AUUGAACGCUGGCGGCAUGCCUUACACAUGCAAGUCGAACGGCAGCACGGGUGCUUGCACCUGGUGGCGAGUGGCGAACGGGUGAGUAAUACAUCGGAACAUGUCCUGUAGUGGGGGAUAGCCCGGCGAAAGCCGGAUUAAUACCGCAUACGCUCUCCGGAUGAAAGCGGGGGACCUUCGGCCCUCGCGCUAUAGGGUUGGCCGAUGGCUGAUUAGCUAGUUGGUGGGGUAAAGGCCUACCAAGGCGACGAUCAGUAGCUGGUCUGAGAGGACGACCAGCCACACUGGGACUGAGACACGGCCCAGACUCCUACGGGAGGCAGCAGUGGGGAAUUUUGGACAAUGGGCGAAAGCCUGAUCCAGCAAUGCCGCGUGUGUGAAGAAGGCCUUCGGGUUGUAAAGCACUUUUGUCCGGAAAGAAAUCCUUGGGCCUAAUACGGUCGGGGGAUGACGGUACCGGAAGAAUAAGCACCGGCUAACUACGUG
rnacentral:rRNA from 1 species